CUUUCCUCAAUAGGUGGAGUCUUUGGAUUUUUUAAAAGACAACAGUAAUUGGAUCUACUUGAAAAAUUAAGUGAAUUGAUUUGUUUGGAACACUCUUUGACCAAUUCUUUAACGUUUAGCCACUGGAUUCCCAGAAGUUGUGCAUGUGUUCCUGUGGAGGGAGUUGGCAUCGUUGAAAGCAAAGACGGCUGUGAUGCACUUUUUUGAUAUGAGGAUAACAGGAAGCGACAAGACAAUCAUGCCCAUGAGAACUCUAAACCAUUCAGACCAUUUUGUCUUAGUGAAACUGACGGUUGAACUUUGCUCUAGUUGAUGGGCAAAAUUUCUCCUAGACUAUUCAUCAUCCCAAUUUCAUCCUAGUUGAAAAUAUUCAAAUGCCAUAAGAAAUCUUUAUAGAUUUGCACUUAGCUUUUGGAUGGACAUUUCUACAAUGGAGAGAACUGUGUUAUAGCCCCGGUCCAAGGACAUUACCAUCAAAUGCCCACAGACUACGGGGUGGGUGUGGAAGGUUCUAAAGAGAAGGAGAACUCAGCAAGUUUGCAGACACCCUGGAACAUGGAAGCAAGCAAGCUUUGAAAGGGACAGUUUGAAGACACUCCAUGAGUCUGCACGGCUUUCAAGCAAACUAGCGC
rnacentral:lncRNA from 1 species